rnacentral:tRNA from 1 species
GCGGAUGUGGCGGAAUUGGUAUACGCGCACGCUUGAGGGGGCGAGUUCGAGUCUCGCCAUCCGCA